CGACUCCAGGCAGUCCUGCUCUCAGCACACAGGUUUUUCAGAGGUACCCAUGCUCUGUGCAGGAGGCCUGGACACUGACAAGGAACCAGGUCCCUAAAAUUUAACCUGUAGUAACUCUAACUUUUGGGUAGCUAGUGAAAAAGGAGCUGAAUUCUACCCUCAGGAGCCAGGUGCUACGUAGCCUGAAUGUCUUAAUUAAAUGUCCUUAAAUGCCCUAAACUGAAAGACCAGAGCAGCAAGCAGCUACCCAGACCUCUGCUGAAGGCUGAUUUUAGGAAUGCUUGGCAACACAUCCCAAAAAAGUGGACUACUCCUUUAAACAUUCUUUGAGAAGAAAAUGGAGGUGACCUUGCAAAGGCUCCCCACAUCCCUUCUCCUACUGCAGAAAUAGUUUUGCUCUUUCAAGGGCUUGCAAGGCCCACAUUUGGAGGAUUUUUUUCUCAGCUAGAAGGUAAAUCCAGGUGUUAUGAUCACUGAGAGUCAUCUGGGCCUCUAACUCUUUAAAGCAGAUUUUUUGGUGCUGAUGAGAUGAACGUGCCCGACUGCUCUGGAAGUCUGGACCUGCUGGGUGAUGGAGCCAAACCUUCUGUGUGCCUUCUGCUGCAGCUAAAGGUGUCCUCUCAAAACAGAGCCAAAUGAUGAAUUAGGUUUUCAGAGGAUUUUUAUAGGCAUAAUUCUGCAUGCAGAUCUAUCAAAUAUCAAACCCCAGCUCUGGAUGGUUGUUAAAAUCCCAUUUAAAUGUGUUUAUGAAUCUC